rnacentral:rRNA from 1 species
GGGGAGUGGCAGACGGGUGAGUAACGCGUGGGAAUCUACCCAUCUCUACGGGAUAGCUCCGGGAAACUGGAAUUAAUACCGUAUACGUCCUGAGGGAGAAAGAUUUAUCGGGGAUGGAUGAGCCCGCGUUGGAUUAGCUAGUUGGUGGGGUAAAGGCCUACCAAGGCGACGAUCCAUAGCUGGUCUGAGAGGAUGCCCAGCCACAUUGGGACUGAGACACGGCCCAAACUCCUACGGGAGGCAGCAGUGGGGAAUAUUGGACAAUGGGCGCAAGCCUGAUCCAGCCAUGCCGCGUGAGUGAUGAAGGUCUUAGGAUUGUAAAGCUCUUUCAGUGGGGACGAUAAUGACGGUACC